UAGGGAAUCUUCGGCAAUGGGGGCAACCCUGACCGAGCAACGCCGCGUGAGUGAAGAAGGUUUUCGGAUCGUAAAGCUCUGUUGUAAGUCAAGAACGGGUGUGAGAGUGGAAAGUUCACACUGUGACGGUAGCUUACCAGAAAGGGACGGCUAACUACGUGCCAGCAGCCGCGGUAAUACGUAGGUCCCGAGCGUUGUCCGGAUUUAUUGGGCGUAAAGCGAGCGCAGGCGGUUUGAUAAGUCUGAAGUUAAAGGCUGUGGCUCAACCAUAGUUCGCUUUGGAAACUGUCAAACUUGAGUGCAGAAGGGGAGAGUGGAAUUCCAUGUGUAGCGGUGAAAUGCGUAGAUAUAUGGAGGAACACCGGUGGCGAAAGCGGCUCUCUGGUCUGUAACUGACGCUGAGGCUCGAAAGCGUGGGGGAGCGAACAGGAUUAGAUACCCUGGUAGUCCACGCCGUAAACGAUGAGUGCUAGGUGUUGGAUCCUUUCCGGGAUUCAGUGCCGCAGCUAACGCAUUAAGCACUCCGCCUGGGGAGUACGACCGCAAGGUUGAAACUCUAAAGUGAAUUGAC
rnacentral:rRNA from 1 species